UAAUACCUGCGAGUUUACCCUUGCAACUAAUGUCGCAAGAAAUACGUUGCAGCGCAACGAUAUGCCUUUAAGCUGGACACGGCCGACCGCAAUUAUCCGUUUAACUGGCAGAAAUGUAGCACAGACGCGGUUACGUAUGCACGGGUAACGAGUCGAAUGUAGCAAAGUUUCGAAGAAAGCAGCAGCCAGCGCGCGAGAGGAAAUGCCAACGUAAAUCUUCGAGUUAAUGUUGCUGAAACUCUGGCUAAGUAAAAAGAUAGCCAUGAUCGAAUUAAUACGGAGGAAACGCUGUUGCCAGGAAAUUGUACGUACAAAAGCAUCCGAUCAACGUUUGUUCAAGCAACGUUUAAAUUCCAACGAUAAAUGUUGCAUUCCCGGCUACGGAUUUCCGAUGCUGAUUACGCGUUGGUCGAUGUUAAUUCGUUGUUUCGACACCCAACAGACGAUACGUUGCAUAAUAAUUUUUAAAAAGACCUACUGCUCGUUAGAAUUCUUUUUUUCUAUCGCGCGUUACCACGUAACGCGCGUAUCUUAUCUUAUUUUUUUCUCUUCCUUUAUCUUUCUACAAGCUUCAGCGUUUUAUAAGCCGUAUUAUCGCGCGAUAGUAUAUUAUUCAAACUAUCCCUGUACUUCGAUUUCCAUCGCUGAGCAGCGCUGAUAAACCGUAUCGCGAUUUUCCUCCAACAUUCCACCGGCCAACGUUAAAACGAAUCGCAUACUCGUUCGCCGUACACGAGCAACAAGUGGCAGCGAAGGCACGCCACGCGUUUCUAAUUUUUCGUGCGAAUUCUUCGAUGAUCAACAGCUGUGUAGCCAAGAGUCCAGCGCGGCGAUAUUCCUCCUUCGAAAGCAAACAGCAAUCGUAACUUAACGCUUAGCCAACCGAACGGGGAGAUCUCCCUUUUGGACUUUAGCGAGGCGUUUUCUUUUUUUUUUUUUUCUUUUUUGUUGUUACUAUCAGUUAUCGUUUACCUGGAAUUGUUGCCAAUUAAUCGCAACACGUUUUCUACUAUUAUAAAGUACAGUGUAUAAUAAAAUACACCAAUCUGGUGGUGUUGAAAUUAACGAAAAAGUUACACUAUCUUUUUGAAUUUUUAAUUUCACGUUCGAGUCGUCUUAUUUAUCCUUAGUCGUAUUUAAUGUUUUUAAUUUUACCUGUAUCUUUUUAUACUUUUAAUAUAUACUUUCAAUUCGAUGUUUUGCAUAAACGAUAUUUGAAAUCGUUAAAGAAAACCAUUACUGCAAAAUAUAAUUGGCCAUUUAAAUAAUUUUUACGCUUUUUUGUUUUUCAAGUAACGAAUAUUAAGUCCUCGUUACUUGAAAGAAUGCACGAUGGACAGCUUGUUCGUCUGCGGAAUUUCCCUUAAAUCGCGAAAACUACGAGGAAGCAAUAGACGAACAAUAAUUUCUGUUUUAUAUUAUUUCAUUGAAUUACAUGCGAUUCAUUUUGCUCUAUUUCUAUUAUUACGUUCGUGCAUAAUUCAAUAAACUAACAUAAAACAAAAAACAUUGCGCGUCCAUUAUUUCCUUACAAAACGAAAGAAAAAUUUCGAACAACCUAAUAGAUCGCGCGCCGGAAGUAACCGAUCGAGAGACAAGCGAUUCGAAAGUCCAAAGCGAUUGCAUCCGCCUUAAGAAUCGCUCUCCGUGUUUCCUUCACUUGCUCGUGGAAUUAACGUUCGUAAAAAAAUUAAUAUUCGCGGCGAAAGCGAACAUUCCGCGGCCAGAUUCGCUGUCCGAGAACGCGUAACGACCAAGAAACAGCGUAAUCCGACAUAACGCGCUAUCUCGCGGGUUAACGAGCUUCGAACACCCCACCGAUGUUCGACAUCUCGAGUUUCCCGCACAGUGGCACCGAACGAUACUACGACGCGAUGCGACGCGCCAUCUCCUUUGCUCCACGUCCAUCCGCUAACGUACGCGAUUUAUUGCGCGUUCCGCUAUCGCGUGUUCGCAAACGCACGUCGCGCGUUGCAUCGUUUAGUCGACAGAGAGGAUCGCGUUUGUCCCGACUGUCAAAUAUGUCAGCGCACGAACCAACAGGUUCGUUAACCGCCGCGUAUCGGAAAUUCGAUUCUUGGUUCGCGAUUUCGUCGUCCAAAUCGCUCUGUCGUAUCGAACGAUGUAACAAACGCUGACGCGGAAUUUAGACCAAGUCACGGCGAUACUCGCGAAAGCAUUUCAACGUCACCUCCUCGACCCUCGAGUCAUCAAGUACAAUAGCUAGAAAAGGUACUGGCGCGAACUUGGAUUUUGCAACGAAGCGUUCUUUCAUCGGGUAGCAAAUUCUCGUAGUCGUGCGAAAGAUAUAAAACGACGCGAAUAUUUGGAUUCGAUCGAUCAGUGCGUAAAUCCUACAACGAUGAUGCAACGGCGGCUCAAUGGAAUAGUAAAAUUAGGAAUCGCCAUCCGAGCUCUUUUCCUCUUUUCGCUGUGACACGUACGUAUACACAGAUAUAUUUAAGAUGGUCUUGGAAACCACGAAAACAGAGACGAGUCCGCUUCGGUUCGCGACGGUAAAGUAUUAGGUUAUCCGAAAAGUUUCUUUCGUUUUUCGAGGAAAUAAUAGACCUUUUUUUGUUUUAUAUUAUUUUGUCGAAUUACGUACGAUCCAUUUUGUUCCGUCGAGAUAAGCACCGCGACAUUUCACAGACUUGGUUUCACGUUUGCACGAAGGUGCAUCGUUGUAAAAAACACGUUUACGAAAGAAAGACGCGUCUUUUUUGAAACCUAACCUAUCGAACGUUGUGAUCUUUACCUUGAUAGAACAAAAUGGAUCGUACGCAAUACGAUAAAAUAAUAUAAAACGGAAAAUGUUGCGCAUCCAUUAUUUCCUUAUAAAACGAACGAAACUACCUAAUACCACAACGUGAAAUACCUGUGGCGUACUCAAACUUUGUCGAACGCUGUGUACGAACGUUGCAAGAGGCGUUGUCUCGGAAACGUAAAUUCGAAACGUCUUGUCCCGCGCUCUAUCUUCCACGCUGUCCUAAUUUAUUAACCUAAUAAUAUUUUUAUCGAGAUAUGUAUAACUUUGUGUGUUAGACUAGAUUGGCCGCGUAGUAGUGACGUAUGUGAAUAUGAGUGUGUGAAGUAUGUGCGUGCGCGGCGUCUCGAAAAACAGAUGAAUGUAACCGUUACGUUGGUAGUGUGAUAGGAAGAUGGCGAGACAAAGAGAGUGCUGAAAUAAAUCUAAAACUAUUUUAAUAUGAAUUCUAAGUGUAACCUUAGCGUUCCUUCACCUUUAUCUCGGCAAUUAAGAUCCACAAUUCUCAACAAUUUUAUUUAAAAAUAUAAGAAUAUCGCCAUAACUGUACUCGUUGACGCCCUGUCGUUGUCGUCGCGGCCACUCACGACCAUGGUACGUUCUAUGCUACGAGUACGUUAUGCAUUGUGGAAUCGAAGAGUCUGUGAACUUUGCGUUGAAUCAAAUUGUACGUUUUCUUUCGAUAAAAAGAAAGAACAAAGGCUUACAUCGAAGGCGAUGUUGCAGUCUAUAACGUUGCUCGCGACGCAUAACCGUGUGUUUAUUACUUCGAAGACAAUAAACGUAUAGCACGGAUUUAUGUCGAAGGAAAACUUUUGUAAGCGGAAUUUUAACGCAAGAUGUUUACGCACCGAUGAUACUACGGUACAUAGGAACCAAUAAACGUAUGAACGUCCUCUAUCGCGUCGGUUAUAUCGCGAUCGAGUUUAACACGUUGCUUACGUGUUGUAGAAAUGGCACAACCGUUGGGAACAUGCAUUUACGAUUUUCGUGCUUUUAACGAUAUCAACGAGACAGAAUCGGAACGCAAAUUCUUUCUUUGCAUAUUACGCAAAGUGUAUUUUAUAAAUAUACCUAUUACCACAUUUUUUAAGCUCGAUAUUCAAAAACAUACUGACUUUGAAUAGAAGGCGUAGGAGAAUACGAACGACGUUGAUAUUCCACUCGUGUAUUAGAAUUUAUUUGGUUGGCAAAGAAAGGAUCGCUCGUGUCAAAGUUUCGUUCGUAGAGCCGCUGAGACGUAUUUCUAGCGAUCAGAAACUUGCAACGACUCGAUUGCAACAUCAAUCACAUCUCAACCUACAUCACAGAUAAGACAUCGACUCCGAGCUUCGGACUCCUUUGGACACAUCACCACCUUAUCGUCAUAGCCUACACCAAGGCUGUGACGCACCCCAGUUCACAUCAAAGACAGGAUAUCGACCACCGAGCUUCGGACUCCCUUGGACACAUCACCAUCCUAUCAUCAUAACCUACAGAACCCACAGAAGCUACGACACACCUUAGUCUACGUCAUAGAUAAGACGUCGGCCCCCGAUCUUCGGACACUUCUUCACAUCACAACCUACACCGAGCCCCUCAACAUCCUCGAACCAAAAUGUAUAUAAGUUGAGACUUGAGACAGUUGGGGCAGUUCUUGCGCAGCCCUUUUCUCCGGUUCAGUGUCAGUCUAUUGCUUGUAAGUGGUGAAUUUAUAAUAAAGUUCAAUGCAAGAAGAUUAA